rnacentral:rRNA from 1 species
UACGAAGGGUGCAAGCGUUACUCGGAAUUACUGGGCGUAAAGCGUGCGUAGGUGGUUGUUUAAGUCUGUUGUGAAAGCCCUGGGCUCAACCUGGGAAUUGCAGUGGAUACUGGGCGACUAGAGUGUGGUAGAGGGUAGUGGAAUUCCCGGUGUAGCAGUGAAAUGCGUAGAGAUCGGGAGGAACAUCCAUGGCGAAGGCAGCUACCUGGACCAACACUGACACUGAGGCACGAAAGCGUGGGGGAGCAAACAGG